rnacentral:rRNA from 1 species
UACGUAGGGUGCGAGCGUUAAUCGGAAUUACUGGGCGUAAAGUGUGCGCAGGCGGCUCUGCAAGUCGAGUGUGAAAUCCCCGAGCUUAACUUGGGAAUUGCGCUCGAAACUAUGGAGCUGGAGUGUGGCAGAGGAAGGUGGAAUUCCACGUGUAGCGGUGAAAUGCGUAGAGAUCCGGAGGAACACCGAAGGCGAAGGCAGUGUCCUGGCGCGUAACUGACGCUGAGGUGCGAAAGCCAGGGGAGCGAACGGG